CAGUCACUGACAGACCGUACCGAAAACCGACACUGGUGGGCGAGAUGAAUAUUCUCAGGCGCUUGAGAGAACUCUGGAGAAGGAACUCGGCAAAUUGACACCGUAACUUCGGGAGAAGGUGUGCCUCUAGUAGGUGAACCCGUACAGGGGGAGCCCAAUGAGGUCUCAGAAAAUCGGUGGCUGCGACUGUUUAUUAAAAACACAGCACUCUGCGAACACGGAAGUGGACGUAUAGGGUGUGACGCCUGCCCGGUGCUGGAAGGUUAAGUGAUGGGGUGCAAGCUCCUGAUCGAAGCCCCAGUAAACGGCGGCCGUAACUAUAACGGUCCUAAGGUAGCGAAAUUCCUUGUCGGGUAAGUUCCGACCUGCACGAAUGGCGUAACGCUGGCCACACUGUCUCCUCCAGAGACUCAGCGAAGUUGAAAUGGUUGUGAUGAUGCAAUCUACCCGCGGCUAGAUGGAAGGACCCCGUGCACCUUUACUGUAACUUUGCAUUGGACUGUGAACCGAUCUGUGUAGGAUAGCUGGGAGGCUUUGAAGUGGGGGCGCUAGCUCUCAUGGAGCCAACGUUGAAAUACCAGCCUGAUUGUUUUGCGAUUCUAACCUAGGCUCGUCAUCCGGGCCGGGGAUCGUGCAUGGUAGGCAGUUUGACUGGGGCGGUCUCCUCCCAAAGAGUAACGGAGGAGUACGAAGGUACGCUUACCACGGUCGGAAAUCGUGGCUUAAUGUGCAUUGGCAAAAGCGUGCUUGACUGCGAGACGUACAUGUCGAGCAGGUGCGAAAGCAGGUCAAAGUGAUCCGGUGGUUCUGUAUGGAAGGGCCAUCGCUCAACGGAUAAAAGGUACGCCGGGGAUAACAGGCUGAUUCCUCCCAAGAGUUCAUAUCGACGGGGGAGUUUGGCACCUCGAUGUCGGCUCAUCACAUCCUGGGGCUGUAGCCGGUCCCAAGGGUAUGGCUGUUCGCCAUUUAAAGUGGUACGUGAGCUGGGUUUAAAACGUCGUGAGACAGUUUGGUCCCUAUCUACCGUGGGCGUUGGAAGUUUGAGGGGGGCUGCUCCUAGUACGAGAGGACCGGAGUGGACGCAUCCCUGGUGUACCGAUUGUCACGCCAGUGGCAUUGUCGGGUAGCUAUAUGCGGAAGGGAUAACCGCUGAAAGCAUCUAAGCGGGAAACCUGCCCCAAGAUGAGACUUCCCGGAGGCUUGACCUCCCUGAAGGGUCGUCCUAGACCAGGACGUUGAUAGGCUGGGUGUGCAAGGGCUGCGAGGCCUUCAGCUAACCAGUACUAAUUGCCCGUGUGGCUUGACCUU
rnacentral:rRNA from 1 species